rnacentral:sRNA from 1 species
UGGAUUAGGGACUCCAAAGACAGCUGACAGCAUCUGGCUUUCAGUACCUCAGUCACCACUACUUUGUACCAAAUUCACUGUUUUGGCUCUGAAAUCUAAUUUUGAGUUUAGCAAGGAUGUCUGCAUUGCUCAUGCAAAUGAACUAAGCGUUCAUUGGAAUGACACCAUCACCACCCAAAUGAAAAGAACUGGCUGGAAUAUUCAUCAGCCUACUAAUGUCAUCUCCCAACCCACUCUCCAAAAUCCAUCCCAAAAAAGCAUCCAGUUCAGAAUUGCUCACUGUUGGCACAGAAAGAAUGUCACUAAUUUAUUUACAGGGAGCAGAUAGCAGGGACUUACAGAUGAACCAGGCCCUGCGAUUUUUGGAAAAUGAGCACCAGGAACUGCAGGCCAAGAUUGAAUGCCUGCAAGGGGACAGAGACCUGUGCAGCUUGGAUACCCAGGACCUACAAGGUCAACUAAAAAGGUCAGAGGCGGAGAAACUCACCCUGGUGACCAGAGUACAGCAGUUGCAGAGUUUGCUUCAGAAUCAAUCCUUACAGCUUCAAGAACAGGAGAAACUCUUA